GCUUCUUUAGUAUUGAUCAGUACAAUUGACUUCCAAUCAAUAAGCUCUGGCGCAGCCCAGAAAGAAGCA
rnacentral:tRNA from 1 species